rnacentral:lncRNA from 1 species
UAUUUUCAGUCCUUGGAGACACAGGGGUGCAGUGGUGAGCACAGAGCUCAGUUCCUGGGGUGCUGUCUGUCUGGAAUUUGUAUGUUCUCCCAGGUUCUGUGCGGGUUUCUUUCAGGUGCUCUGAUGGCUUCCCACAGUCCAAAGACAAGCUGGAAGGUCAAUGGGCUUCUGGGGAAACUGGUGUGUGACUGCCUGUGCCCGUGUGUCCGUCCUGUGAUGGACAGGAGCCCCGUCUUACCUUAUGCCCGUUGCUUGGUGGGAUAGGCUCCCCUGUGACCCUGACUCGGACAAAGAAAAUGGAUGAAUGGAUACCCGUAUGCUGUGCUGCCUCAUGUCAAGGUGAACAGCGGAUCGCGCACAGUUCGGUUCUCCGCGCGAAGGCGCAGCCGGGCGUGCUCACGGCUGCUGUGCGCGUUCGCACCGCAAGGUGGCGCCGCGAGACACCAAAUGCACUUCCCGAGAAAGCCGUUGAACCCGGAGGCGGAGCGCGGGCACGUUCGGGAAGGCGGGCUGGGAGAAUGAGGAUAUAGUGAGGUCUGUCCCGCUGUUAAAAAAAAACUGCUGAAACCGAGCGGGAAUCGCAGAAUAA